GACGAAGGAUGCAAGCGUUAUCCGGAUUCAUUGGGUUUAAAGGGAGCGUAGGUGGCCUUAUAAGUCAGUGGUGAAAUCUCUGGGCUUAACCCAGAAAUUGCCAUUGAUACUGUAGGGCUUGAGUAUAGUUGCCGUUGGCGGAAUAUGACAUGUAGUGGUGAAAUACAUAGAGAUGUCAUAGAACACCGAUUGCGAAGGCAGCUAACGAAACUAUAACUGACGCUGAGGCUCGAAAGUGCGGGGAUCAAACAGG
rnacentral:rRNA from 1 species